CACAUAAGAGCAACUGUAGCUGCUGUUGCUGGCUGGCUUCUGUGACUGGUGUUAUGGUCUGCAGUGGCAUUAUCUAUACACCCAAACUGCUUCAUUAAGCUACAGUUAUUUUGGUGACUAUAGUAUCCCUUUAAGAAAAAACAUUUAUUGUUUUUAUAUUUUUCAAGCAGUUGUUUAGUAGAUGUGUCCCUAAUGGCACCCUCAAUUGAGAUUGACAUUUUAAGGAUACCAAAUUGGGGAGCUAUCUAGUAAAAUGUUGCAAACUGUUUUGUUCCCGAAAUUCUUCAGAAUUUUUUCCCGUUACAAAUGAAUUUCAAAAAUUAAGAAUUGGAACGAAACAAAACUAAUAAAGACGAAAAUAAUAAAUAUUAAAUAAAACAUAUUAAUUUCUUAGACCUGGGCUGAUACAUAGUCCCAGCAUAGUUAUCAGUAGAAACUUCUUAUGUUGUUACUUUAUAUAGAUACCUUAUGAGUACGUUUUGUUUUGGUGAGACAACUGAUGUCCAGAGGAAGAGUCAACUAUACGUAUAGGAACUUAUCUUUUAUAACUGAAGUUCACUCAAUGAAUAUUAUACAUGUUAUUUGUUAACCAGAUCUCUCCAGAUUGACACUAGCAGGUCCAUGGUUUACAGUGGUAUUUACUUGAGAAGGCUGACAGAACAUUGUAUCACAGCGACCUCAUGUGGUUUUUACCUUAGUAAAUUUCAUUCUAAAGGAAGAUAAGAACUGAAUGUGGUACCACAGCGACCUCAUGUGGUCUAUGCGAUAAGCCAAAUUCAACCGUGUUUGAAAAAAGCAAUUAUACUGCAUUUUCUUGGCAGAUUGGCAAAUAAUAAAGCACUCUCCAUACCAGAGAGUAUUUGUGUAGAGAAUUCACUAUUUUCUUAUCUCAACUUUAUAGUGGUAGUAUAUCUAUAAUACAUAGGGAAUUAAGCAAUUAUACUACUGAUUGAUACUUUUUAUACACUGUUAUUCUUUUAAAUAUAUAUAUAUAUUUGUGGUCAGGGCAAUAUUGCCGUAAUGGUUAGAUAACAUAUAAAUAAAAAUAACAUAUGAGUAGUAAUGUUACGGUACCCUCAGCAUCAAAUGCACAAACCGCUGUUUAGUGAAUCCUCCCCUCUCGCAAUACAGGCUGCAUGCGUAUCAAGUACAAUCAUACGAACUGCAAGCAGGGGAACGCUGUAAACUCAUGAACGGGAUCCGUACGGGCACUUCACUUCACGAGCUCCAAACUCACGAAUCGCCAAUAGUAGCCGAAUGCAUAUAUCUCCCAAGCGGCUAAUAAUUCCAUCCGGCAGUCUCUAGUCGUCGGUAAUAAAUCCCCCCAAUAACGAGACCAAGCUCCGCAUUGAGGGUAAAACAUGAACUGGCUUUACUGUGGGCUACCUGCCCGUAUUUAUGCAGGUCUCCCACUUGGUGGACACUCCCCUAGGGGACCAAAUGGGAGACUGUAACAAUAGACAGACAUAUGGCAGGUUAGGACCCACAGACACAGAAUAUUCCCUGCAUGCAUUAGUAUUUCCUCCCCUCUGACCUGGAGAUAAUUGAGAAGUAAUUCAAUUAUCUCCAGGACAGAGGCAAAUCGCCAUUUUAAAUUCAACACCGAAAAACAUAUAAAAAUAUAUAACUUUACAUUUGUCGAAUGUUACCCAUUCGUAUCACGUAUCCCCAGAUAGCCUGGAUCUGAGUGCAUAUUAUUGGCGAAUAGCACUCAGAUCCCAUACACAUAGUUCAAUCGUCAUGGAGUCAAAGUCUAUUACAGUCUUUCGGUAUGCGAUUGACUCCAUGGGAAGGCUAUCUGGGGUAAGUCCAUUAGUGCGUAUAAAACUCCCGAACGGCCGGUGUUCGUAUAUUUCUGUCGAUUGAGAAGGGAGGUUGGCGGCUUCAGCGGUGUUCAGCAGAAAAAGUGUCCGUUUUCAGUUCCAUGAAAUCCAUGCCGAAUACCGCUGGUCUUUCGCAUGGUUUAAAAUGGCCACCGUCUCGUGGUCGACAUACGAACGACGACCACCCUGUAUUUGGUUUUAAUUGAGAAGUGUCUGCGGUUAGAUGUAGUGAGUGUGGAACCGUGUAGCUCAAGCAGUGGUUGGUGAGGUAAUUUUUGAAAAGUGCUAAAGUAAGUGUCUAAAACCAGAACUGGGCACCAUUAGUUGUAAGCGGGGUAUUAUGUUAUUAUUAUUAUUAUGUUAUUAUUUAUAUAGCACCAAUAAAUUCCGCUGCGUUUUAUUUCAGUGGGUGGACGGACAAAAAUGUAGUUGUAACCAGACAAGUUGGACACACAGGAACAGAGGGGUUGAGGGCCCUGCUCAAUGAGCUUACAUGCUAGAGGGAGUGGGGUAAAGUGACACAAAAGGUAAGGAUAGUAUUAGACUAGUGAUAGUUGCAGAAGAGGAAUCAGUCAGGAGCUAUUAACAGUUUAAUUGAUAUGCUUUUAUGAAGAAGUGGGUUUUUAAUGAUUUUUUGAAGGAGUGGAGACUGGGUGAGCAUCUAACGGAGGAGGGAAGCGAGUUCCACAGGAACGGUGCAGCCCUCGAUUAGUCUUGAAGGCGUGCAUCAGAGGUGGGAGUACGGACAGAAGAUAGACGUAAGUCUUCAGCAGAGCGUAAGGGCCUAGACGGGAGGAUAGAUAGGUGGGAGCAGCAUUAUGUAGACACAACAUUCAGACAAAGACAUUACAUUUAGUCAGGUAGUGUAUGGGGAAUGGUUGUUGCAUGGGCCUCAUGGCAAUGAGAGCAUACACUUAGCAGCUUGUAUGAGCUAAACCCAUGAGGGUGAGUCAAUGUUAUUCUGCAUCCCUGGCCGUAGCCAGGAAUAGGGCGCUAUGUUUGUCGAGUUCGGCAGUGAUUCAUAGAGUAUUCUGUGAUCCGAGGGAUGCAAGACUAACUGUGUACACUCUGCGAGAUGGCUUACCAGACCUAGCAGGGGUGUUAGGUAGAGACAGUUCCACUGUAAUUGUCAGGAACUGUAUCCGUUUAUUACUGGCCCUUUAAGACGGCAUGAAAGUACACACCCCUUGGUUAUUUAAACUCCAAUCUCCAAUACCUCAGUGCACAAUUAAUGUGUUAAUUUGACUGAUUGCAUCAACUUGCUUGCUAAUCAUUUGGAUCACUCCUAGAGAGACCGGACCCCUUCUGAAUCUCCUCUUCAUACACCUAUAUCUUUGAUUACCUGGUGAACUAAUUCGGACUGGCCUUGACUCUGCUUUUGAAAUUUCCUUCAAUACUGCUUAAUCUCCUAAUGAACGACCUCAGGCUGGAUAAAGGACAUUUCUUAUGGACUAACCCUGUACACAUCACCAGCUGAGCACCAUGAGGGUGGCAGACACCAUACCAGCUGGCUGAGCACCAUGAGAGUGGCAGACACCAUACCAGCUGGCUGAGCACCAUGAGAGUGGCAGACACCAUACCAGUUGGCUGAGUACCAUGAGAGUGGUAUACACCAUACCAGCAGACUGAGCACCAUGAGAGUGGUAGACCACAUACCAGCUGGCCGAGCACCAUGAGAGUGGUAGACCCCCAUACCAGCUGGCCGAACACCGAACAUGAGUGGUAGACAUUCCAGCAGGGGUGCCAGAGGUCAGUCAUGGCAGGUAGUGGACCCGGGGAGCUGCAGGUGAUAGCAGCUGACGUGCCAGCUGUGUACCAUGCUCGGCCCCGGCUUGGUGGGUACUUACCGCUGGUGUGUGGGGAGUCUCAGCUGCUGGUGACAGGAGCAACCGGGGUGCUGGGGUACACAGUGAGUUGGGAGGCACCCGAGCCACCGGUCCAGACGGCGUGCUGAGAGACACCCGUCAGGCAAACUCACUGUUUAGCGACAGACCUCGUGGAACAGACAGGCACCUGGCAGCAGCAGCAGGACCUCCGUAAAGCGAUGGUACAGGUAAACCACAUAGGAAGUGAAGUUCAGCCGUCGACAAACGUGAAGACAGCAAGCCAGGAGACCAUGCCACGAAGAUACAGGUAAGUUCAACUCACCAGACCAAUAACGGUAUGUGAGAGAGGAUUGGAGGCCCUUAUAAAGGGGACCCCAAACCCCUCCCACAACUACAGGCUCUGACUUAAAUAUAUACUUUUAAUACACUGUUAUUCUUUUAUUUGUCUGUUGAUCUGUCUGUCCGUCUAUCUAUAUAUUAAAAGUUAAGUUUUAGCUAUGCCACAAAUUAUUAUGUACGUCUUUAUUAUAGAAACAUAGAAUGUGACAGCAAAUAAGAACCAUUCGGUCCAUCUAAUCUGCCCAAUUUUCUAAAUUCUUUCAUUAGUCUCUGGCCUUAUCUUAUAUCUAGGAUAGGCUUUUUCCUAUCCCACGCAUGCUUAAACUAGGGAUCGACCGAUUAUCGGUCUGGCCGAUAUUAUCGUCCGAUAUUUGGUAUUUUCGGCAAUAUCGGUAUUGGCCAAUUCAGAUACCGAUAUUGCCGAUAAUAUAUAACAGGACCGCCGGGCUUGUAAUGGGGUCCUGUGGGGGGCCAGCAGCAAGCGCUGACUUACCUUGCAAGCAGCUCCUGUAGCUCCCUCUGUAAAUCUCGCGAGACCCAUGGCCGGUUAGCAUGGCAAUGUUCCGCGUGGCACUAAGAGCCGCGAGAUUUACACAGGGAGCUGGAGGAGCUGCUGGCAAGGUAAGUCAGCGCUUGCUGCUGGCCCCCCCAGUACUUAACAAGCCACUGGACCACCAGGGAAUACUAUAUCCCCCCUCCCUGGUAAGAAGCAGGGAGGGGGGACUGAACAAAAAAAAAAAAUUUAAAUAUUUAAAAAAUGCCCCCCCAUUUUACACAAAUUACAUCACUACACACACACACACACACACAAACACACACACACUGCAUUAUAUACACACUACACAUACACACUGCAUUAUAUACACACACACUACACAAACACACACACUGCAUUACAUACACACACUACACAAACACACACACUGCAUUACAUACACACACUACACAAAGACACACACUGCAUUACAUACACACUACACACACUGCAUUCACUAUACACACUACACAAACACACACUGCAUUCAUUAUAUAUACCCACUACACAAACACACACUCUGCAUCCACUACACACACACACUACACAAACACACACAGCUCCCCUGUCUAAACACACUUCAUCCACUACAUGUGGCAUGUAUAUUUUGUGCAUUUACCUUUCAAAUUAGUUUACUUUUUCAAAAUAGUAAAUGUACAGAAUAUCUGCAAGAUAUCGGCUAUCGGCCUGAAAGUUC